AAAAUAUCUUACCCGAUAAAAUUGGAACGAUACAGAAAAAAUUAGCAUGACCCUUGCGUCAAGAUGACACGUACAAAUCGAAAAUGGUCAAAUUGAUUU